GGCUCGAGGACGAACGCUGGCGGCGUGCUUAACACAUGCAAGUGGAGCGACGAACCGGGGCUUGCCCCGGGGCAGAGCCGCGAACGGGUGAGUAACACGUGGGUAACCUGCCUCAAUGAUUGGGACAACCCGGGGAAACUCGGGCUAAUACCAAAUGUGUUCACUCCUUCUAAGGGGAGUGAGGAAAGGAAGCUUCGGCCUCCGCAUUGAGAUGGGCCCGCGGCCCAUUAGCUUGUUGGUGAGGUAACGGCUCACCAAGGCUUCGAUGGGUAGCUGGUCUGAGAGGACGAUCAGCCACACUGGGACUGAGACACGGCCCAGACUCCUACGGGAGGCAGCAGUGGGGAAUCUUGCACAAUGCGCGAAAGCGUGAUGCAGCAACGCCGCGUGGGGAAGACGGCCUUCGGGUUGUAAACCCCUUUCAGUUGGGACGAAGCUUCGUCGGUGAAUAGCCGGUUGGAGUGACGGUACCUUCAGAAGAAGCCCCGGCUAACUACGUG
rnacentral:rRNA from 1 species